ensembl:antisense
AAAGAGCUUGAUUAGCUGGUUCAGGUGUGUUUAAUUGUGAUUGUAACGAAAAUUUGCAGGACACUGGCGUCCAGGACCGAGUUUGGACAUCCCUGAAUUAACUCAAAGUUAUCCAACAGACUUGUCGACAUCUGAACAAAUUUUAGGCUUCUCAAGUUAACAAAUACCAGAUAUUUUCUCCCUAUAUUUCAGUAGCAUAAAAAAGCGUUUAAUAAAGUGUGGAUCCAAACAAAUCAAAGGCUAAUCAUAAUAAUAAAAACUUACCAAGAGCUUUGAGAUACUCAAAGUUGUUGUUGGAGAUCAUUUUCCAGUAACCAGUGUAAUCAGGCAUUUUGAACUACAGGCAACGCGAUUGUUGUCCUAAAAAUGUGUUUAUAAUGCAGACCUGAUGCCUGGUCGUUCAGCUCCUGUCGUGCAGCACUCUGGCACUUAUCAGCACUGCAUUUUAUUUACUACCAUAUUAAGCGGAUCAGCUUCAUUACUGCGACGCAUGCGGGGGUGGAAACACUCCCACUACGUGCUCGACCACGGUCAUUACACUCAAGACUCAAAAGUACAACAUCGGAACAUAUGGAUUAAUGAGGCAUGAUGGGAAGGAAAGCAAAACACUGCCAUGUUCAGAACCCAAGAGACCGACAGACUCUUCAAUCAGAGCGACAGCAUCCGGGCGGCACUCAGACUCCCUCACAUCAUUUUUCCUUCUGCAAAUCCUCUCUGGAGUCUAAUUACUUUUAUGUACACGGAAGCUCCCAAAUCUGAAGACUCUUUUGUUGAGUCCGAGAGCAUAUCCCGACGCACCUGUUGUUUGAUGGUUUUCUCGCAGAGCUGCUUAUCCCGGUGUUCUCGAUACCACUAAUGUAAAUGACAAGCGGCGACACCUCCCAGGGAAAGUCGCUGGAGAUUUUCCACCGCGAGGAUCAGAACAAACAAGCACUUAUAGACUGUGACAGACUAUCACAGAUGGUGUUUGUCUGGAUUUCACAAUAGCAGAGAUGAAGGCGCACGCAGACAGACAAGAGAGAUGCUGCUGGAAGAGUGGCAUGAGUUUAUAUACUUUAAAGUGUUGGAUUUUGAUGGAUCUCUCUUAGAGUCUCCAGUAGGGGGUGUUAACUUUACAAUGGCCAUUGACAACUCUUGUGGCACUCUAAGCAAAGAAGAAUCAUAACCGACUGAUCUUGGUUAUGAUGAAACAUAACUAUUUUACUAUUAAAUGAGAUCAUACAAAUUUUUUAUACUGAGUUUAAGGGUGUUUUCACACCUGCCUUAUUUAGUUCGGUUGAAUCACACUACAGUUCAUUUUCCAUCUUUGUGCGGAUCGUUUGGGCAGGUGUGAAUGUAACAAUCGCACUCAAGUGUGCAUCAAAAGCGAACCAAAAACAGACCAAAAAAGCAUACUGAGACCUCCUUGAAGUGGUGGUCUUGGUACGCUUUCAAGCAAACACUGGAAUGGUUCGUUUGUGGUGAGAACAUGAUCCAAACUAGAACAGACCUGGCCGCAAAAAGUACAGUGCCUUUUUGGACUAAUCCAGCUGCCAUAGUCCAAUGCGCUGUGCCUCACUUUUGCUAACUAUUUUUAAUGAAAAGGCGUUAAGCUCUGCCCGAAAAGUCGCUAGAUUACAUCACGUGUCAACUUGCAUAUUACUGAC